CCUAUAAGCUGGGCAACGAAGCCGGACAUGAGGCAGCAACGAUGAAAGACCAGGCGACCAGGUUUUGCGACAGUGUGCGCCAGUCAGAGAACGGGUGGCAGCUCGCUUUGAGCCUCCUCA
rnacentral:ribozyme from 1 species